CCGUAGGAUGGGACAGGUACCAAUGGAGGGGGUCACCCUUAAUUAAAGCUGCCCGCCAAAUGGUCAGGACGCAUGAAUGUGGGGUUCACCCCAGUUAUACAGCGGAGCUAUACCUCUGAGAUCUGAUCAGCCUAAAAUGGGUGCCGAGGAUCUUGCAAGAUUCAAGAUGGCCACCAUUCGCACCCAAAUCCUGGACAGUGUGG